rnacentral:rRNA from 1 species
AGUGAACGCUGGCGGUAGGCCUAACACAUGCAAGUCGAACGGCAGCACAGUAAGAGCUUGCUCUUACGGGUGGCGAGUGGCGGACGGGUGAGGAAUACAUCGGAAUCUACUUUUUCGUGGGGGAUAACGUAGGGAAACUUACGCUAAUACCGCAUACGACCUACGGGUGAAAGCAGGGGAUCUUCGGACCUUGCGCGAUUGAAUGAGCCGAUGUCGGAUUAGCUAGUUGGCGGGGUAAAGGCCCACCAAGGCGACGAUCCGUAGCCGGUCUGAGAGGAUGAUCAGCCACACUGGAACUGAGACACGAUCCAGACUCCUACGGGAGGCAGCAGUGGGGAAUAUUGGACAAUGGGCGCAAGCCUGAUCCAGCCAUACCGCGUGGGUGAAGAAGGCCUUCGGGUUGUAAAGCCCUUUUGUUGGGAAAGAAAAGCAGCAGGUUAAUACCCCGCUGUUCUGACGGUACCCAAAGAAUAAGCACCGGCUAACUUCGUG